CGUAUGUCGCAAGCGUUAUCCGGAAUUAUUGGGCUUAAAGGGCAUCUAGGCGGUUUUUCAAGUCAGGGGUGAAAACUUAUGGCUCAACUAUAAGCUUGCCUUUGAAACUGAAAGACUAGAGUACUGGAAAAGGUGGGUGGAACUACACGAGUAGAGGUGAAAUUCGUAGAUAUGUGUAGGAAUGCCGAUGAUGAAGAUAACUCACUGGACAGAAACUGACGCUGAAGUGCGAAAGCUAGGGGGAGCAAACAGGAUU
rnacentral:rRNA from 1 species